rnacentral:misc_RNA from 1 species
GUACUCUCACACUCCCACUCUUUUGGAUUGGGAGCGGUGGACUUGGGUGUUGCUGCUUCACUGUGGCUCGCCUCAAAUGGAGUAGUGCAACUCUCGGUUGGACAUAGUACGGCGUGAUAAGUGUCUUCGCCGGCGCCUCACUAGAGGGUGGCCGAUCGGGAGCUCUGUGCUUCAAACCGUCUUCGGACAAUCUCUGACA